rfam:Felis catus isolate Cinnamon breed Abyssinian chromosome E2, whole genome shotgun sequence.
GCCUGGGUGGCUCAGUUGGUUGAGCAUCCGACUUCGGCUCAGGUCAUGAUCUCACAGUGUGUGAGUUUGAGCCCCACAUCGGGCU